rnacentral:rRNA from 1 species
AGCAGUCGCCGCGGUAAUACGUAGGGGGCUAGCGUUAUCCGGAUUUACUGGGCGUAAAGGGUGCGUAGGUGGUCCUUCAAGUCGGUGGUUAAAGGCUACGGCUCAACCGUAGUAAGCCGCCGAAACUGGAGGACUUGAGUGCAGGAGAGGAAAGUGGAAUUCCCAGUGUAGCGGUGAAAUGCGUAGAUAUUGGGAGGAACACCAGUAGCGAAGGCGGCUUUCUGGACUGCAACUGACACUGAGGCACGAAAGCGUGGGUAACAAACAGGAUUAGAUACCCGAGUAGUCCCUGUCUCUUAUACA